rnacentral:rRNA from 1 species
CUCCAGUCGGAUGCAUGUCCUUCUGGGAAAGAUUCAUCGGUAUGGGAUGGGGUCGCGUCGUAUCAGCUUGAUGGCGGGGUAACGGCCCACCAUGGCUUCGACGGGUAGCCGGCGUGAGAGGGCGACCGGCCACAUAGGGACUGAGAUACGGCCCAGACUCAUACGGGAGGCAGCAGUGGGGAAUAUAGCACAAUGGGCGCAAGCAUGAUGCAGCGACGCCGCGUGCGGGAUGACGGCCUUCGGGUUGUAAACCGCCUUUGACUGGGAGCAAGCCCUUCGGGGUGAGUGUACCUUUCGAAUAAGCACCGGCUAACUACGUGCCAGCAGCCGCGGUAAUACGUAGGGUGCAAGCGUUAUCCGGAAUUAUUGGGCGUAAAGGGCUCGUAGGCGGUUCGUCGCGUCCGGUGUGAAAGUCCAUCGCUUAACGGUGGAUCCGCGCCGGGUACGGGCGGG